GACGAACGCUGGCGGCGUGCUUAACACAUGCAAGUCGAACGGAAAGGCCCUGCUUUUGUGGGGUGCUCGAGUGGCGAACGGGUGAGUAACACGUGAGUAACCUGCCCUUGACUUUGGGAUAACUUCAGGAAACUGGGGCUAAUACCGGAUAGGAGCUCCUGCUGCAUGGUGGGGGUUGGAAAGUUUCGGCGGUUGGGGAUGGACUCGCGGCUUAUCCGCUUGUUGGUGGGGUAGUGGCUUACCAAGGCUUUGACGGGUAGCCGGCCUGGGAGGGUGACCGGCCACAGUGGGACUGAGAUACGGCCCAGACGCCUACGGGAGGCAGCAGUGGGAAAUAUGGCACAAUGGGAGGAAGCCUGAUGCAGCAGCGCCGCGUGCGGGAUGACGGCUUUCGGGUUGUAAACCGCUUUCGCCUGUGACGAAGCGAGAGUGACGGUAAUGGGUAAAGAAGCACCGGCUAACUACGUG
rnacentral:rRNA from 1 species